AGACUGCGCGCACUUCCAGGUGACCUGCGGCCCUGCCGGCAGGUUGAAACGGGAAGCCGGUGACGCGUGACAACACGCCAUGCCGGCGCUGCCCCCGCAACGGUAAGCACGUCAGUUCCAGGCAACCCGCCACUGUGCCGCAGGCAUGGGAAGGCGCCUGGACGGUGGCCUCGGGCCACCCGGCGGCGAGCCCGGAGACCGGCCCGGAAGCCUCAGGUCGC
rnacentral:ncRNA from 1 species